CAGAACACGACUGGAUUAAUCCCUUAAUAGCCUCCAAUAUAUUCUCUGUUAUCGUAAUCACACUUCUGCUUGGAGUUUUAUAUAAAAAUCACAGAAAAGAUGCUUCAUCAAGCAACCAUCAAAUUCCCACCAAUCAGACUGCUGCUGCUGAUGAUGUCUUGAACUAUGCAGCUGUGAGCUUUGCUAAAAAACCUUCAUCCUCCAGAACAUCCAGAGCCAAAAAUACCCAUGAAGACGUUUACGCUCAAGUUAAAAUAAAAUAGAGAAAUCAUAUUUUUUACUUUUGUGUACUUUUAAUGAGGCCUUCUUCAGGUUUCCUCAGCAUUUUUUUUAAAUAGUGCAGAUGAUAUUUAAUGUAAAUAUAUACAUAUAUAUUAUUUGUUUGAUUUAGAAGGUUAAAUUGUUAAGAAAAAGUUCUUGGUGCACAAUUUAUUUAAACUUUUAUUUCUGUUUUAACUAAAACAUUAACUUUUCCAUAAAUAUUAAGAGCCUGUAAGUGAAAGAGGGCUGAAUAUAAAGAUUCCAACAUUACUGAUGAGAUGUGGCUGUUUAACCUGAAAUUAAAUUUCAGACACUGAACAUUAAAUCAGAUUAAAAAUGUAUGUUGAGACCGAUGAUGUGCCAAGAAGUGCUUUAUUUUAAAUGUUUUCAGACUAUUUACAUUAACAAAUUUUACAAAUACCACAGUGUAUUUUUUGUGUUCAUAUUUAAGCUAAUUUUAGCAACAUGUUCAUUCCCACAGAUGUCUCUAAAUGACUUCAC